UUUAGUAUUUCUUAUGUAUUAAAAAAGAUCUAGAGAUAAAAGAAAUACAAUAUUACAAUAUUUUUGUGUUAUUUAAUUAAUUUAUCACGUUUCAAAAUAUUGCUUAUAUCAAUUCAGUGAUGUUUAUAUGGAAAAGUUAAAUUUUGAAAAAAUAAAUAUCUUUAAUUUCAUAAUUUAAGUUAAUUUGUGUGCUAAUUUGAAAAAGUUAAUUUAUAGUUUACAUCUUAUUUCUAUUAUAUGGAAAAUUUGACCUCAUAUGGCUAUUUAUAGCCAUUGAAUAACACAAAAUAUUUGUUACACUUUUCUUCUCUCUCUCAUGGGUAUUUCUCAAGUUUUUCAUUAUGAGUAUGUAAAUAUUCACUUGCCAUAUUUCUGGAUCCUUGUAAAUAUUCACUUGCCAUAUAAAGAUCCUUGUAAAUAUUUACUUACAAUUUAUAGAUCC
rnacentral:lncRNA from 1 species